UACACACACUGUGAAUCAUCGAAUCUUUGAACGCACAUUGCACUGACUGGAGACCCGGUCAGUACACCUGUUUGAGUAUGUUUUAUACCUCUUCAAACUCAGUCAUUUUUACAAGUGUCUGGGCCAUGAAGGACUAUGGGUCUUUGUCUAGUAGACAUGACCUGAAUUCUAUAGUGUAGCCAGUUGAAUGACUCUACCAGUGCAAUAUUAAACGAUGUUGACACUUGGUUUCCAUCACACUUCGGGCCACUUGAAAUUAAAAAAGCUCUUCGGAACUUCUAAAACAACCAGCAUCUCAAAUCAGGUGAGAUUACCCGCUGAACUUAAGCAUAUCAAUAAGCGGAGG
rnacentral:rRNA from 1 species